UACGUAGGAUGCAAGCGUUGUCCGGAGUUAUUGGGCGUAAAGCGCACGUAGGCGGUGCGGUAAGUGUGGUGUGAAAUCUGCGGGCUUAACCCGCAGCGGUCGCUGCAGACUGCCGUGCUUGAGGGCUGGAGAGGAAGAUGGAAUUCCCGGUGUAGUGGUGAAAUGCGUAGAUAUCGGGAGGAACACCCGUGGCGAAGGCGGCUCUCUGGGACGGUACCGACGCUGAGACGCGAAAGCGUGGGGAGCGAACAGG
rnacentral:rRNA from 1 species